rnacentral:sRNA from 1 species
AAAGAUUGAUUUUUAUCAUAGAUCUUAGCAAUCUCGUGUUUCUUUAAAGCUCUGUUCGUUUCUCCAUUUGACAGAUCCAUUCAACAUGUCCAUCUAGAUGAUUCAUUCGACUCUUGUUCGUUUCAUUUUUAGUAUGUUCAUUUAACUGGACCAUCCGAAUGAGAUGUUGUUCAUUUGCUUAUCUCUAUCUCCAUCCAAAUGAUUUGUAAUAAUACAAAUACCUAAAAUACCAAUGCUUUCAUCUAAUUAUAUUUUUAUUAUUACUUGUAAACAUAUUAAUUUU